rnacentral:rRNA from 1 species
AGGGUUUGAUUCUGGCUCAGGACGAACGCUGGCGGCAUGCCUAACACAUGCAAGUCGAACGGAGUUUAUUAUUAGAAGUUCUUCGGAACGGAAGAUAAUAAACUUAGUGGCGGACGGGUGAGUAACGCGUGGAUAACCUGCCUUUUUGUGGGGAACAACUUCGAGAAAUCGGAGCUAAUACCGCAUGAGCUUAUAAAGCCGCAUGGCUAUAUAAGGAAAGAUGGCCUCUGAACAUGCUAUCGCAAAAAGAUGGAUCCGCGUCUGAUUAGCUAGUUGGUAAGGUAGCGGCUUACCAAGGCGACGAUCAGUAGCCGGCCUGAGAGGGUGAACGGCCACAUUGGGACUGAGACACGGCCCAA